CGCCUCUCUCUCUCUCUCUCUCCCUGCCUCCCUCACCUGGCCUUUCCGCCGCCGCCGCCACUUCCCACCCUAGCCAUCGGCGUCCCCUUAUUCUCGACUCUCUCUCUCUCCCUCAUCCUCGCCUCUCACUCUCUCCCUCACCCUUGCCACUCUGCCGCCAGCCACCACUGCCGCCGCCCUACGCCUCUUCCCCUUUCCUCCUCUCAUGUCCACCUCCGCCGCUAGUCUCCUCCACCGCCAAUUUUCUAGUACCUCCUCUACCCUUUGUAAUUUUUAUUUUGUAUUUUUUAUUUUUGGGUUUUUAGUUCAAUAUAUAGAGUGUGGGUUUUCUGGAACCUCCUCUACCCAUCGGUGAGAUUUUUUUUUUUUUUUUUUUUUUUAAUUGUAGAAAUUUCAUAUAAAUACAUUACAAGAAAAUCAUUGAUUUGAAUUUCAUAUUUUUGUGAUUGAAUAUACUAUUGGGGUUUAGGUUGCAAUGUGAUUUUGAUUUGCAAUUUUUUUUCCCUAUUGGGUCUUGGGGUUAGUGCUUUGAUAUGGAUGUUUGGCUGUGGGAUUGGGGUUCAAAAAAAAUUGGGAUUCGCAUUGUGAAUCCAUAAGUAUUUUUUGAUUUGGGAUUUUCAGAGUUGGGUACGUAUAUUGCUUGUGCUCAUUUGGCUAUAGGUUUGGGUUUGUGCUUGUGUUUGAAAGGUGGGUUUUAUGUUGACCCAGAGGCGAAGCUCCUGUUUAUCAUUCGCAUUCGUGGUAUCAAUGCCAUGCACCCAAAGACUAGAAAGAUCUUGCAGCUCUUGCGUUUGAGACAG